UGUUCACAAGCUUUUUCGUCGUCCUCACGUGCUCGCCAUCCUCCUUCGGCUCGGCUCUUCUCAUCAUCUCGUCUCAUCUCACAAUAGCAGCCAAAAUUUCGUUAUCUUCCCUUUCACCUCUUUUCAUCUCAUCUCAUUAAUGCACGCACAUGCUUUUCCAUUUUUGCUCCUUCGUCUGCUCUGGUUAUGAAUGGGUGGGCUGAGAAUCUUUCUUAAUUGGAAUAAGGCGUAUCACACAAUGGAUUUUAUCCUUUGGAUUUAUGGCCUCCAUCCUUUACCUGAGAUUUCUUCUCUUCUACCCAACAAUUGGAGGGUUCCUCUCCCAGCUGUUUGCGUUCUUGCGGAGGAUAGCCUUGUGCAUUUGUCUUCCAAAUCUGCGUGGAGAUCUAUUGUUUCUUUUCUUUCCUUCUUUCUUGCUCCCGGAGUUCGAGCAACUACCUAAUCAGCUGCUAACUCAGAUCAUCAGAUGGCUUUGUCACUAGCUCUUAAGCGGCUGGUCUCAUCGAACAGCCUUCUCAGCCGGUCUCUCAAUCCCCUCCUCCGUCCGGCUGCUUCCGCUGCGUCAUCAAGUGUUUUCGACGUCGUCGAUCGCCGCUCCGAUCGUCCUCUCGACCAUCGCCGCGAAUUAUCCUGUUUUCCAGGAAGUAUUGGAGUAUGCAGAUAAAGACUGCAUGAAACAAGGAUUCCUUCACUUGUUCUUAUAAGAGGAAAUAGCAAAACUGGACAAAUUUGUUACUAAUCACUCCCUCAAAGUUGGUGAUUCCCCAAUCUAGAACAACUUUUGCUAUUAUUAUCUUCACCAGGAAAGGCAUAGAAAAGUUGCAACCCAGGCAUUUUAGCUUCAAAAUUUAGCUUGGAAAGGCAUAGAAAAGUUUCGACCCUGCAUUUUAGCUUCAAAAUUUAGUUUUAGUCAGAUUCUAUAUACUAAGAAACUAUACCACCUCAUGGUGAUUAUUGAUAUUUAUAUUGUUAGUGAAAUCUGUAGUAGACCCUUCAUGGUUUUUCCGCUUUCAGUAAGUUUUGAGUUACCAUAUAAAUCAGGAGAAUUUGGGA